GAAGAAGAAGACAGGAGAAGGAGGAGGAAGAGGAGAAAGAGGACUGUUCUUGCCUUUCUGAAAAUCACACAUAUGAAUCCUUUGGCCGGAAUAUUGUCACACAGCUACAACAGUGGCAAGGAGAACUAUAAAAAGUCUUCUCUAAUUUAGAGGAAUGCUAAAUUACUUCUAAAGAAAGGAAGACCAGAUAUGGGGGCUGGAAGCCGUCUGGCUCCAAGUGCUCAAGGCAAAUAACAGCCUUUCUUCCCCGAUGAGUCCAACACCUGGGAUGGUAGUUGCACUUUUAUUUUCUGGCUUGAUAACCAUUUUGGCAGCAUUCACACCAACUCAGAAGGUUCCACACUGUCUGGACCUGUCCUUUCCCUUGCAUACAACCCUUGCUCUCGUCACCAGUGCCUGGGAGCUUCAUGCUCUCCAUGGAUUACAGACUAAAGAAGAGAUGAAAAUGUGACUCACCAUAAAGACUUAAACAACCACACUGGUUCUUCUCAAAUAGCUUCAC